CUAGUGUUGAGUGGGCCUGCCCCUUGACAUGCACCCUUAAGGGAGAUCCAGCAAUUGGCGAUGGUGUGACUCGCCAUUUUUUUUCAACAAUCAUGUACAAACUGCAGCAUGGUUUUGAGAUUAAUUUCGUGCCAGGAGGAACUCUGCUUUUUGAGGGUGAAAGUGAUCAUCUGCUACCCUCCACUUCCCUUAUCCUUUUGGAGAGCGACUUAUUUGUUGUUGCUGGACGGAUGAUUGGGCAUUCAUUUCUGCAUGAUGGGCCAUGCCUGGGUGGACUGAGCCCAGCAAUCCUGCAUGUGCUCUUGGGUGGAUCCCCAGAAGAAGCAACUAUUGAUAUUAAGGACUGUGCUGACCUUGAUAUCCGUGAGACAAUCAAAGUGCUGGAUGGCAGAGCAGAGUUAUCAUCUGAAGAAAAGAUCAUUGUCAAUGAGUUGGCACUGUCCUGGGAUUUGCCUCCAGUCACAUCUGAGAACAGGAGAUGGCUGCUUGACAAAAUGUUACUCCAUGCUGUGAGUA